UAAUACCAAUUUAAUGAAAAUGUUAAUAAUGCCAAUUAAAUGUAAAUGUGUGUUAUCCAUAGCAGUUACAUCAUCAGCACAAAAAAAAGGAAGAAAUUGUCUUAAAGUAUUUAACAACUAUUAUCUGACUCGGCAAAGAAGCCUCUCACUGACAGGGACAGUCCAACAUAAGUUUUUUUUGUUUCACUUUCAUUUACUCCUUAAGGUAAACACAACUAUCAAGCAGCAUUCCUGUUGGAACUAGUCUCGUUUGUUCAGUUACAACCCCAGGUUGGCCACGGAUGCAAGAGUCUCGCAAAAGUCAAUGAAAGCCUUCUGUGGGAAUCAA